UUUUGCACAGCGCACCUCACACGCUGCAAGUACUUACACCGCUGAAACGCUCGCUGUGGGAACCUCCCGGGCCACUGACAGCCGCACGCGCCCAGGAGAGAAGGAACGGCAGGCAAAUAGCAAGGAACCGUAACACAGGCACAAGGGCAGAGCCACUCAGACGCCUCCCUUUGCCAUCGCAGAAGCAUGUUGAUGGGACACAAAGGUAAGUCCAAUGCUGACCAUCAAUCUCCUUCAAUGGCUUUGCCAGAGACCGUCCCACAGUUAAGAGCAGGUACAUAAGCCUGCAGCUUAUGUUUUGGACACUGGGGAUAUUAACAGUUGUUGAAGCAACAUUUCUUUCGUUUCAAAUAGCCAUGACAGCUCCCUUUAAAAUGCAUUUUGUUGGAGUGCAGAUAUGCUUGGUCAGGUACAGUCAUAAGAUCGAAGGAAGAAGAAGCCAAGACGCUGGUAGCUUGCUCCUUUCCUUCCCUUCCCCACCUGCCUGCUUUCCAAUGUCACAGACUCCAAACUUGGCACAGUGAGGUUUCAGGGCCCAUGUAGCUCCCUUAUCAGUCAUUUUAAGUCAAAGACACAAAAGGCCAAAAGGCCUUUAGUUAGAUGCUCAGCUGGCAACAGCAGACAAAAGCACCUGUCAGUCGGUUCCUGCCACGUUAGACGGCUCCUUCCACCCUCCAGUUCAGCUUCUGGGCAUGCUCUUCUAUACUCAGCUGUUCUUUUUGUUUGUUUGUUUCUUUCUUUUUUUUUAACCUAUUUUCGCCUUUUUCUCAUUUCACCCAACCUCUGUACUCUCUAUUUUCAUUAUUCUAUAUUAAUAUUCGUUUUACCUCACUUGAGGUGGUUUUAUUUGUUUGUUUGCUUGUUUGUUUGUUUUGCACUUCAGAGUCAUUCCCAACAUUUUAAGGAAAGCAAGUUCAUGGAAGAAGUAUACCUUUUACCUACUAUGGUACUGUUCUCUAUAUUUAUAUAUAAUUUUCCCCUGUCCUUUCUUUAGUCUAUUUAGACAGCUCUUCAGAGAGGCUUUCUUUUAAUCUGCAUUUAUGCAACAGAUCCCCAUAUAUUAGAUCCCAGUUUUGGCUGGGUUCCCCAGGUUUGUGCAGAAAUAAUGGAUAUAACUGACACAAGAUAGACUCAUCUGCAGCUUUUCUGGAAUAAUGGCAGAAGGUUCAACUUUUCACCCAUAAAGGAAACAAGUCAGUGAUGAAGUGAUACAAUUCUCUACCUAAGUGCUAAGGUAGCCCAGGAUUUCAGAUCUGGGAUCCUGGUCCUUUUCUAAGUUCCCCAGAACACGGAUGGAGAUAAAAGUAAUGUAAUCUUUUACAUAACUUAAACGCUGUUCUGCAAAGGGGCCUGUGUAGAUAUUUUCUCCCUCCAUUCUCCCAGCAGAAGGGGUUACUCCCACUUCGAAGCUAUCUUUUAAAAGUUUUAUUAUGGUGGUUUUUAUGAACAUGGUAUUGGGAUACAGCUCCUGAAACUACAGCCUUCAAUCUACCCAACUGAAGGGGGAAAGCAGAGAGUGGCCACCCACCCUUUUUCAGCGUCAUGCUAACCUGAACAAAUCAUACCUAGUGAUGCUAAAGUAGGUACCUAAAACUUGUGGGAGGAGAGCCUGUAUUUUGGCCGUAAGUACAAGCAACUCAGAAGAAGCCGGCUGAGCAUGGGAUACCCCAUUUCCUCUUUUAUGAGAUGCUGACUGCAGAAAGUAGCACCGUGCCAUAAGCCUACACCUGCCUCAGGACAGGAUCUCUCCACAUACUUCCUAGGACUGGAUGUUAGGACACUUAUGAGCUUUUCAUAGCUUUUUCAUAGCUAAACAGUUGAAGACUUCUGCACAUGUAGAACACAUUAUACAGAUCACAAUGGAGAGGGAAAAACUGCUUGGAAUAAAGCUUGGGAGAGUUAGGAGAAAAAACUGUAAGUAACCUUGCAGUUUUCCCAAAUUACCUAAACGGAAGUGUGGUUGAUGCCCUUUCCUCAGUUCACUGUGUGUGCUAAAUAGGAAAGGCCUGGUAACUUUGCAGAUCUGUGACACCUGACAAAUUGGAGGACCUACAGCAGUGAGAGCCCAUUCCUCCCUUCUAGUUCCUGCCACUCUUUUUCUUUUUCCUUUCUUUUUUGGGGGGUACCCGAUCUCCAGUAGAACAAUGUUACCAGGCCUCCUUCGACCACCUGCUGCUGCCUCUGGAAGCUCUCUGAGAUGACACAAAUGAAACACUUCAGCUCAGAAACGGUCCCAAAGAGAUCCUAAUAAUGACCAAAUGAAAAGCCAUCAGAGGCCCAGCUCCAAACGUAAAGCUGGAUUGGGAGCAUUUCCUCUAGCAGUUCAGUACACUGCUAGUGUAGGUUAUCCUAAACCGCAGUAUUAUGUGGGGUUAUAUUUACACCACUCUAAUGCAGCACAUACUGUGUAGCUCCUAGGAAUCUCUUCUGUUUGCUCCAUACAUCGACUGCAAGCCGACAUGCAACAGGAUUUGUUUCUGGUCAAAGGCAAAAUAUUCUUGUGGAAUUUGAGCUGAUGCUUUUGAAGUUGUGCAAGUAAGGAGAUGGACACAUCACCCAAGUUCUGCAGCAUGGUUCACCAUGUGUUUAACAGCUAUGACAGAACUGCUAGUUAUCUAAUGAAAGUGUGAACUGCUACAAAAUACUCACUGACUGCAGUCAGAGAUGUAAAGACGCUGUUCAUUCCCGUAGCAUGCUGCAUGUGCAGAGCAGGACUGGGGCUGUGCUGUUGACUAAGCUAUUCUGAAGCAUUAAAAACUGGCCCAGCA